CCUACGGGUGGCAGCAGUGAGGAAUAUUGGUCAAUGGACGAGAGUCUGAAGCAGCCAAGUAGCGUGAAGGAUGACUGCUCUAUGGGUUGUAAACUUCUUUUAUAAAGGAAUAAAACGAGGCACGUGUGCCUUUUUGCAUGUACUUUAUGAAUAAGGAUCGUCUAACUCCGUGCCAGCAGCCGCGGUAAUACGGAGGAUCCGAGCGUUAUCCGGAUGUAUUGGGUUUAAAGGGAGCGCAGACGGGUUGUUAAGUCAGAUGUGAAAGUUUGCGGCUCAACCGUAAAAUUGCAUUUGAUACUGGCGGUCUUGAGUACAGUUGAGGUAGGCGGAAUUCGUGGUGUAGCGGUGAAAUGCUUAGAUAUCACGAAGAACCCCGAUUGCGAAGGCAGCUUACUAAACUGUGACUGACAUUGAUGCUCGAAAGUGUGGGUAUCAAACAGGAUUAGAUACCCUUGUAGUC
rnacentral:rRNA from 1 species